AGGAUUCAUUAUAAUUAUCUGCUGUAAGAAUUGGACUUGCUAGAUCACCAACCCCAUCACGGACAAAUCUCUUAUUCCAUCUUCUAGAGAAGCUUGGCUAACUGUUUGGUGGUUUCAAGUGUUUGAAACUAUAGGUUUCUAAAUUUGCAUGACAGACUUUAAGUAAAGUCAUGUUGAAGAAAAAGGACUGACUGACAGUCAACAAUGUACACUACCUUGUUUGGUAACCUGUUGGCUGCUUCCCUUGAAUCUCCCUUUUUACUUUCUUAAGCUUGAUUUGAGGGUAACUCCUUCGCUACUUAUCAUGGACUUCAUCCAUUGGCGAUGCUAUAAUUCAAGAGAAUGCUGUCAUUCAAGACUGAAAAAUUGUGUAGUUGUUAGAUAAAACAAGUGCAUGUCUGGGCUCCCUUCUUUCUUUGGCCCCAUUUCCCUAACUAACCACUAACCAGCGCCCGCCGGUGUUCACUCACCCGCUGUGAAACCAGGAG